UACGGAGGGGGCAAGCGUUAUCCGGAUUCACUGGGUUUAAAGGGUGCGUAGGUGGGCAAGUAAGUCAGUGGUGAAAUCUCCGGGCUUAACCCGGAAACUGCCAUUGAUACUAUUUGUCUUGAAUACUGUGGAGGUCAGCGGAAUAUGUCAUGUAGCGGUGAAAUGCUUAGAUAUGACAUAGAACACCAAUUGCGAAGGCAGCUGGCUACACAAAUAUUGACACUGAGGCACGAAAGCGUGGGGAUCAAACAGG
rnacentral:rRNA from 1 species